rnacentral:rRNA from 1 species
UUCCGUAGGGUGACCUGCGGAGGGAUCAUUACACAAAUAUGAAGGCGGGCUGGAACCUCUCGGGGUUACAGCCUUGCUGAAUUAUUCACCCUUGUCUUUUGCGUACUUCUUGUUUCCUUGGUGGGUUCGCCCACCACUAGGACAAACAUAAACCUUUUGUAAUUGCAAUCAGCGUCAGUAACAAAUUAAUAAUUACAACUUUCAACAACGGAUCUCUUGGUUCUGGCAUCGAUGAAGAACGCAGCGAAAUGCGAUAAGUAGUGUGAAUUGCAGAAUUCAGUGAAUCAUCGAAUCUUUGAACGCACAUUGCGCCCUUUGGUAUUCCAAAGGGCAUGCCUGUUCGAGCGUCAUUUGUACCCUCAAGCUUUGCUUGGUGUUGGGCGUCUUGUCUCUAGCUUUGCUGGAGACUCGCCUUAAAGUAAUUGGCAGCCGGCCUACUGGUUUCGGAGCGCAGCACAAGUCGCACUCUCUAUCAGCAAAGGUCUAGCAUCCAUUAAGCCUUUUUUUCAACUUUUGACCUCGGAUCAGGUAGGGAUACCCGCUGAACUUAAGCAUAUCAAUAAGCGGAGGAA